UACGAAGGGGGCUAGCGUUGUUCGGAAUUACUGGGCGUAAAGCGCACGUAGGCGGACAUUUAAGUCAGGGGUGAAAUCCUGGAGCUCAACUCCAGAACUGCCUUUGAUACUGAGGAUCUUGAGUUCGGGAGAGGUGAGUGGAACUGCGAGUGUAGAGGUGAAAUUCGUAGAUAUUCGCAAGAACACCAGUGGCGAAGGCGACUUACUGGACACAUAUUGACGCUGAGGUGCGAAAGCGUGGGGAGCAAACAGG
rnacentral:rRNA from 1 species